UCCGCUGCUGUUCGCACUCAAAAUGGCCGUUGGCGUCGAAGGGUGAGUAUUUAUGGUCACUGCUUUCCUUCCCGGCUGCCCCUCUGGUCCUCGUCACUUCCUCUGGUGCUCCCGCUCCUUCUCUGAAAGAGGAAAAAAAAACAACGCUGCCCGCUAUCGGUAAGUAAUUUUAAAAAUAAACUGCUUUACCUUAGCUGCAGUCUUCCGGGUCCGUCUUGCCUCCGCUGCUGCUCGCACUCAAAAUGGCCGUUGGCGUCGAAGGGUGAGUAUUUAUGGUCACUGCUUUCCUUCCCGGCUGCCCCUCUGGUCCUCGUCACUUCCUCUGGUGCUCCCGCUCCUUCUCUGAAAGAGGAAAAAAAAACACCGCUGCCCGCUAUCGGUAAGUAAUUUUAAAAAUAAACUGCUUUACCUUAGCUGCAGUCUUCCGGGUCCGUCUUGCCUCCGCUGCUGCUCGCACUCAAAAUGGCCGUUGGCGUCGAAGGGUGAGUAUUUAUGGUCACUGCUUUCCUUCCCGGCUGCCCCUCUGGUCCUCUUCACUUCCUCUGGUGCUCCCGCUCCUUCUCUGAAAGAGGAAAAAAAAACACCGCUGCCCGCUAUCGGUAAGUAAUUUUAAAAAUAAACUGCUUUACCUUAGCUGCAGUCUUCCGGGUCCGUCUUGCCUCCGCUGCUGCUCGCACUCAAAAUGGCCGUUGGCGUCGAAGGGUGAGUAUUUAUGGUCACUGCUUUCCUUCCCGGCUGCCCCUCUGGUCCUCGUCACUUCCUCUGGUGCUCCCGCUCCUUCUCUGAAAGAGGAAAAAAAAACACCGCUGCCCGCUAUCGUUAUUUAGACACAUCACAAACAGCAAUGUUGCAGUGCAGAUCCCUGUGAAACACCACCAGCCAUGGAUCUCCAGCUAGAAAAACACCCUUCUACGACUAUCCUCUGUCUUCUAUGGAGAAGCCAGUUCUGAAUCCAAGUGACCAAAUUACCACAGAUCCCAUGCUUCUGGAUAGUGAAGGAAAUAGUGAAAAAUGGACCUAGAAAUCCAGAUAACCCAAUGUGGAACUGGAGGAACUCAGCAGGCCAGGCAGCAUCAGAGGAGCAGGAAAGCUGACGUUUCAGAUCGGCGCCUUUCUUCAGACACAAACUUUAUAUUUUCUAUACUGUCUACCUUCUUUGAAUGUUUUUACCUGAAUACCCACUAGCUUUACAUGUACCCUACAAAUCAAUAUCUAAUAAUGUCAAAAUCUGAGUAACGUCAGCCUGCAAACUCAUAUCCUGCAGAAAGUUAGUAUAAGCCUACAGAGGCUAAAUUUACUUUCUGAUAGCUACUAGAAGCAUUGUUUCCGGUGUUUUGAAUUGGCUUUAUCUCUGGAUCCACAAUUGGGUGGUGAGUACUUAAAGCUCUGCGACCUACAUAGUACCAUGAUAGUGAUGAGUAAAGUUUUCAAAUUCUUUUAAUCCAUGUUCUUUGGUCUGUUUCCUUUGCCACUUCCACUUCUUUA